GAUGAACGCUGGCGGCGUGCUUAACACAUGCAAGUCGAGCGGGCAAUUUAUCUAGCACUGAUUACUUCAAAUGGAAAUCAUAAGUGUAAUCAUGAAUUUCUACCUUUAAUAAAGAAAAAAGAAAUUCAUGUACGCAAAUAGUGAUAACACAUUUUAGUGAAGUGAUGAGUGCUGGAUAAAUUGCUAGCGGCGGACGGGUGCGUAACACGUGGGUAACCUGCCCCUAUCACUGGGAUAACACACUGAAAAGUGUGCUAAUACCAGAUAAUAUAAGCUUUUGGCAUCAUUAGCUUAUCAAAGAAUUUCGGAUAGGGAUGGGCCCGCGUCUGAUUAGCUAGUUGGUGAGGUAACGGCUCACCAAGGCAACGAUCAGUAGCCGACCUGAGAGGGUGAUCGGCCACACUGGAACUGAGACACGGUCCAGACUCCUACGGGAGGCAGCAGUGGGGAAUAUUGCACAAU
rnacentral:rRNA from 1 species